GACGAACGCUGGCGGCGUGCUUAACACAUGCAAGUCGAACGGAAAGGCCCUGCUUUUGUGGGGUGCUCGAGUGGCGAACGGGUGAGUAACACGUGAGUAACCUGCCCUUGACUUUGGGAUAACUUCAGGAAACUGGGGCUAAUACCGGAUAGGAGCUCCUGCUGCAUGGUGGGGGUUGGAAAGUUUCGGCGGUUGGGGAUGGACUCGCGGCUUAUCAGCUUGUUGGUGGGGUAGUGGCUUACCAAGGCUUUGACGGGUAGCCGGCCUGAGAGGGUGACCGGCGACAUGGUGACUGAGAGACGGCGCAGACUCCUCCGGGAGGCAGCGGGGGGGAAUAUUGCGCAGUAGGCGCGAGCGUGAUGCGGCGACGCCGCGAGCGGGAUAACAGGCUUCUAGGGGUGAACCGCUUUCUCCUGUGACAAGGCGUGAGUGACGGUAAUUGGUAAAAAAGCACCGGCUAACUACGUG
rnacentral:rRNA from 1 species